CAUGCUCUAGGCAGGCGGGAGUUCCUGGGGGAAUCCACCUUCCGUGAGUCUCUGUGAGUCUCCAUCUACCACUUUAGAACCUUCAAAGGCCAGAUCCUGGCCCUCCUACCCUCAGCGGCUUGGUGACUUAAGCCUAGCCAGUUGGGUACUCUACCCGUGACCUUGAUCAGGAAUGGGUUUCACCACUUCGUUUGGGGCUCUGUCAGGUGGCAAGGGCAGAAGCAUCUGGCCAGCACCCUCGCCAGGCUGCUCUUGGAAAGUUCCCAGGGCCCCGGGUUCCCACAUAGCCUCCUUGGUUCAUGCCUGUUCUGUAAGCGUGCUUUUUUCAGCCUCUCCAUCGAUUCUGCUAGAAAUGGGAUAUCUCUUUGUUGCUGUCGCUUUUGUAGUACGUUUAGGCUGACAGUCUCUGUUGUUUGUAACCCUAAACCCUAAUUGAUAUGCACACAAAGCUUACAGCAAAAAUCAAACUUCGCGAUGACAUGUAAGAACAUAUUUUCAAGGAGUGUUUCUGGACUGGAACAGAGGCAAUGCUGCUUCUUGGAGGAUAUUUAGCAACAUCUGGAGAUGAAUGAGUUGUCCAAACCUGCAGGGGAGGGUGAGGGUGGAGGUGUGGGCUUUGUGCUCUGGCAUCCAGCCUCUAGUGGGAGAGGCCAGGAAUCCUGCUACACUCCCUGUGGAGUCAAUAGUGCUGAAAUUAAGAAGCUCUGCUUUAGGAAGUUCCCAUAACGAGCCUGACUAGUACCCUUGAGACUUGGGCUUGAUCCCUGGCCUUGGUCAGUGGGUUAAGGAUCCUGCAUUGCUGUGAGCUGUGGUAGAGUUCACAGAUGAGGCUCAGAUCUGGUGUUGCUGUGGCUGUGGUGUAGACCAGCAGCUAUAGCUCCAAUUCAACCCAUAGUCUUUGACCUAAGAGUAGAGUGUAAGAAAUAAGACAAGGAGUUCCUGCUGUGGUGCAACGCGUGAAUGACCCAGCUUGUCUCUGUGGAGGUGCUGGUUCCAUCCCCAGCCUGGCUCGGUGGGUUAAGGAUCCAGCAUUGCUGGAGCUGUGGUAUGGGUUGCAGCUCUGGCUCAGCCUCAAUCCCUGGCCUGGGAACUUCCAUAUGCUGUGGGUGUGGCCCUAAAAGAAAAAAAUAAAGGUUCAAACAAAUAAAAUCAUGCCUUGGAUUUUCUACAUAGGUUAGGUUAAAAGCAAGUAAAACUAGAAGCCAGGAAAUCCAUGAUAGUAAAUUUACACAAGAGGACAUGACCAAAGCCAUGGGAUAAUGGAGCUGUUUAAGGAGUGAGAUGCCUAGAACUGGACGACUAAUUAAACACAGGGAAUAAGAAAAGGAGGCCAGUGGGAUGAUACCAAGGGUUUUGGGCUGGGCAACGUGGUGGACAGCGGUUCCCUGUUUUGGGAUAGAAAAUACAAAAGGAGGAGAGAAGAUACUGAGUGUCAGUUCCGUCGAUGAAAAUUUAAUUAACUAUCAUGUUAAGAAGAAAAAAAAAAAGGAACUUUACUGGAGCCAAACUGAGGGUUAUAACCCCAGAAGCAGGUUCUCAGAAAGCUCUGGGAGCUGUUCCACCUGUUAGAAGUCAAAGGCUCCGUCACGCACAUUUUCAAGACAAAGGAUCAUCUAUCAAAGUAAAGGACAGGUAUUUUACAUAAAGUUCACCAAGGUUCCCAGCUCAGGUAAAUGGGUAUACAGUGAGCCGCAGGUCACCAUGACACCCUGCAGAACCAGGAAAGAAGGCUAUUGUUUUGAGAAGUGACAUUGCUAGCCUUGGAAGAAAGGAAACCUUGAUCUUUACCAUGGAGCAGGCACUCCCGUCUGUGGGGAGCCCUGGUUAAUGAGUAAGGCAGAAGCACACUGCACAGUAGGGAGGGAGGGGGAGUCCCCCCACAUAAAAAAAAAAAACACAGAGAGAGUUUUAUGUUUAAUUUUUUCUUGUCCUGCCUUAAAAUAUAAAGUUAUUUCAUCGGUUUGGACAGAGAGAGUUUGUAAUAGGUGGGGCUGCCCCAGUGGAGCUUCUGGGAUGUGGUUGUCUGUAUAGGUCUGAGAGCCCAGGAGAAGCAUCAGGAGAAACAUCACGGCUGGAGACCUAAAUCUAGGAAUUGAGAUCAUAGAAGAAACAGUAAGAAUGAAUGAAAGUCCCCAAGAACCAUAGUUAGAUAAGAAGAGGAUGUGGUUAAGAAGCCUCCCACACUGUGGGUGGGAUUGUAAGCUGGGGCAGCCACUAUAGAGAAGAGUGUGGAGGUUCCUCGAAAAACUGAAAAUAGAACUCCCAUAUGAUCCUAGUCAUAUAUCGGGAAAAGACGAAAACUCUAAUUUGAAAAGAUACAUGCACCCCAAUGCCCAUAGCAGCCCUCUUCCAAUACAAUGUAAGCGUCUAUUGACAUUUCAGCAGCUUAAAUGUCCACUGGCAGAGGAAUGGAUAAAGCAGAUGUGGUACACAUAUACAAUGGAAUAUUACUUAGUCCUAAAAAAGAAUGACAUGAUGCCAUUUGCAGCAGCAUGGAUGGCCCUAGAGAUGAUCAUGCUAAGUGAAGUAAGUCUGAAAGAGAAAGACAAAUUCCAUAUGAUAUCACUUACAUGUAGGCUCCAAAAGAUAAUACAGAUGAACUUGUUUACCAAACAGAAACAGACUCAUAGACUUAGAAAAUAAA
rnacentral:lncRNA from 1 species